UAGCUCUAAUCAAGGUUCAAAGGCUAAAGGAAGCCAAGGACAAACCUUCUCUACAAGAUCUAAAAAAAAUAAACUAAAAAGCACGACUGAAGUCUCACACACUCAAAGGCGAUGCUCAUUAGGCUUGCACAAGUUGAACGCACCUGUCAUCUGGCUCCAGGUCAAGAAUUAGGAAAUGGGGCCAGCCGUGUGCAUGUCCCAGUAAUUACAGGUGACAAAGCAAAAUUAAAAUGUCUGAAUGGGUCGAUGGUGGAUUUUACUGAAACUUCAGGAUCUUUCUCAGUAAAACUGAAAUUAGACGUCCUGACCCUCCUGUUCAGUUUUUAACUCUCUUCCGCCCUGUCUCCUCCCAGCCUUCUUUGGUCACUUAAUUGAUAAGGGGCCUUUCUCAGUUUGCUCUGUGUGAUCGAUUCUUUUGCUAUCCCUUAGCUCAGAUUUCAGGUACAGGGCAGCCCUGACCAUAGGGUGGGCAGGGAAGGAGGAGGAAACCCAGAUUUUUCUGGCAGUCUGGCCUGAGGCAAGCUUCAGUGUGGUAAGCUGCUUUUGUUAGUGUCCUUACUGCUACCCAGGAGGUCUAUGUUUUCCUCUUCACAGAUCGUACUCUUUGCUGGAGCUUUGAGACUCCCAGGGUGGAUGUAGUUUAGGCAAAGGUGGCCCAGGAACCUAGAAGCCCAGUUCGUAGAUAACAAACGUCAGAAGACAUCCCUUGCGGUUACAGAUGACAGAGAGGAGGAGAAAGGGAGUCCCUAGCCACAGUUCCUGUUGGGCUUCCUUGUUUUCCCAUGGAGGGACCAUUACUUUUAGUAGCUCAGUUUUUAGCAAACACUGUGUCACUCCUGCCAGCUUUGUACUUAAGGUUUUACUUCCUUCUGAGGCCUUGGCAGACUCUGUAGCCUGAAGAAAGCUAGGGGCUUGCAGUCCUUGGUUUAUGCCUCAGCAUCCCAUGCAGCAACCGGCUUACAAACACAAAGGAGGAGUCUUCCUGGGAACUCCCUGUACAUUAGCUUUCUGUAUAGUGACAUGUGGGGAGUGAGGUAAACUGAAAAACCUGAGCCAAGGCCAAGCAUGGGACACAUUCCUGUAAUGCCAUCACUCCAGAGACCUGAGGCCAGGGCAUGGCUGUGAAUUGAGGCUGAGGACACAAUGAUUACCUGUCUUAAGAAGAAAAGGCCCCAAAGGAAACAACAAAAACACUAGUUUUGCUUUCUGUCCCUGGCUUUCAUACUUGUAAAUCAACUCCCAAAGACUCAGAAGAAUGAGAUUCCUUCACUCCCGUACCUGCCCUGCUAAGGAGCCCUAGUAACUGUCAUGUAG